rnacentral:rRNA from 1 species
GACGAACGCUGGCGGCGUGCUUAACACAUGCAAGUCGAACGAAGAGCGACGGAAGCUUGCUUCUAUCAAUCUUAGUGGCGAACGGGUGAGUAACGCGUAAUCAACCUGCCCUUCAGAGGGGGACAACAGUUGGAAACGACUGCUAAUACCGCAUACGAUCUAAUCUCGGCAUCGAGGAUGGAUGAAAGGUGGCCUCUACAUGUAAGCUAUCACUGAAGGAGGGGAUUGCGUCUGAUUAGCUAGUUGGCGGGGUAACGGCCCACCAAGGUGAUGAUCAGUAGCCGGUCGGAGAGGAUGGGCGGCCACAUUGGGACUGAGACCCGGCCCAGACGGCUACGGGAAGCAGCAGUGGGGAAUCUUCCGCAAUGGACGAAAGUCUGACGGAGCAACGCCGCGUGAGUGAUGACGGCCUUCGGGUUGUAAAGCUCUGUUUAUCGGGACGAAAGGCCUUCUUGCGAAUAGUGAGAAGGAUUGACGGUACCGGAAUAGAAAGCCACGGCUAACUACGUG